UACAGAGGGUGCGAGCGUUAAUCGGAAUUACUGGGCGUAAAGCGCACGUAGGCGGCUUGGUAUGUCGGGUGUGAAAUCCCCGGGCUCAACCUGGGAACUGCAUCCGAAACUGCCUUGCUCGAGUAUGGGAGAGGGAAGUGGAAUUUCCGGUGUAGCGAUGAAAUGCGUAGAUAUCGGAAGGAACAUCAGUGGCGAAGGCGACUUCCUGGACCAAUACUGACGCUCAGGUGCGAAAGCGUGGGGAGCAAACAGGG
rnacentral:rRNA from 1 species